rnacentral:rRNA from 1 species
GACGAACGCUGGCGGCGUGCUUAACACAUGCAAGUCGAACGAUGAAGCUAGAGCUUGCUCUGGUGAAUUAGUGGCGAACGGGUGAGUAACACGUGAGUAACCUGCCCUUGACUCUGGGAUAACUGCGGGAAACUGUAGCUAAUACCGGAUACGACCCUCGGCGGAAUCGCCAGGGGGUGGAAAGAAUUUCGGUCAAGGAUGGACUUGCGGCCUAUCAGCUAGUUGGGGAGGUAACGGCUCACCAAGGCGACGACGGGUAGCCGGCCUGAGAGGGUGACCGGCCACACUGGGACUGAGACACGGCCCAGACUCCUACGGGAGGCAGCAGUGGGGAAUAUUGCACAAUGGGCGCAAGCCUGAUGCAACAACGCCGCGUGAGGGAUGACGGCCUUCGGGUUGUAAACCUCUUUUAGUAGGGAAGAAGCGAAAGUGACGGUACCUGCAGAAAAAGCACCGGCUAACUACGUGCCAGCCGCCGCGGUAA